rnacentral:SRP_RNA from 1 species
GCCGGGUAAGUCUUAUACGAUCAGCUCCCACUGACUCCCCCAGGCUCGGAAGAGAGCAAGGGUAAGUGGUUGAGCGAUGCGAUAUAAGUAGCUUACCCAU